GCGGGUUUCGUAUAAUGGCAUUAAUCUAGCUUCCCAAGCUGAUAACGAGGGUUCGAUUCCCUUCACCCGCUCCA
rnacentral:tRNA from 1 species